rnacentral:rRNA from 1 species
CAGUCGCCGCGGUAAUACAGAGGGUGCAAGCGUUAAUCGGAAUUACUGGGCGUAAAGCGUGCGUAGGUGGUUUGUUAAGUUGGAUGUGAAAUCCCUGGGCUCAACCUAGGAACUGCAUCCAAAACUGGCAGGCUAGAGUAGGGCAGAGGGUGGUGGAAUUUCCUGUGUAGCGGUGAAAUGCGUAGAUAUAGGGAGGAACACCAAUGGCGAAGGCGACCACCUGGGCUCAUACUGACACUGAGGUACGAAAGCAUGGGGAGCAAACAGGAUUAGAGACCCGUGUAGUCCCUGUCUCUUAUAC